UACGGAGGGGGCUAGCGUUGUUCGGAAUUACUGGGCGUAAAGCGUGCGUAGGUGGUGAGUUAAGUCUGUCGUGAAAGCCCCGGGCUCAACCUGGGAAUGGCGAUGGAUACUGGCUCGCUAGAGUGCGGUAGAGGAGAGUGGAAUUCCCGGUGUAGCAGUGAAAUGCGCAGAUAUCAGGAGGAACACCGGCGGCGAAGGCGGCACUCUGGGCCGGUACUGACGCUGAGGAGCGAAAGCGUGGGUAGCAAACAGG
rnacentral:rRNA from 1 species